rnacentral:rRNA from 1 species
GACGAACGCUGGCGGCGUGCUUAACACAUGCAAGUCGAACGGACAGACCAUGCUUUUGUUCCGUUCUCGAGUGCCGAACGGGUGAGUAAAACGUGUGUAACCUGCCCUUGUCUUUGGGAUAACUUCAGGAAAAUGGGGCUCAUACCGGAUAGGAUCUCCUGCUGCGUAUUGGGGAUUGGAGAGUUUCGGCGGUUGGGGAUGGUCUCGCGGCUUAUCAGCUUGUUGGUGGGGAGUGGCUUACCAAGGCUUUGACGGGUAGCCGGCCUGAGCGGGUGACCGGCCACAUUGGGACUGAGAUACGGCCCAGACUCCUACGGGAGGCAGCAGUGGGGAAUAUUGCACAAUGGGCGGAAGCCUGAUGCAGCAACGCCGCGUGCGGGAUGACGGCCUUCGGGUUGUAAACCGCUUUCGCCUGUGACGAAGCGUGAGUGACGGUAAUGGGUAAAGAAGCACCGGCUAACUACGUG